rnacentral:rRNA from 1 species
AGAGUUUGAUCAUGGCUCAGGAUGAACGCUGGCGGCAUGCCUAAUACAUGCAAGUCGAACGGGGUGCUUGCACCCAGUGGCGAACGGGUGAGUAACACGUAUCUAACCUACCUUUUAGUGGGGGAUAACAGUUGGAAACGACUGCUAAUACCGCAUACGACACCAUUAUGGCAUCAGAAGGUGUUAAAAGGCCCGUUUGGGUCGCUAGAAGAUGGGGAUGCGGCGUAUUAGCUAGUAGGUGGGGUAAUAGCCCACCUAGGCAACGAUACGUAGCCGAACUGAGAGGUUGAUCGGCCACAUUGGGACUGAGAUACGGCCCAGACUCCUACGGGAGGCAGCAGUAGGGAAUUUUUCACAAUGGACGAAAGUCUGAUGAAGCAAUGCCGCGUGAGUGAUGACGGUCUUCGGAUUGUAAAGCUCUGUUGUAAGGGAAGAAAUACUAGAAGAGGAAAUGCUUUUAGUUUGACGGUACCUUACCAGAAAGCCACGGCUAACUAUGUGCCAGCAGCCGCGGUAAUACAUAGGUGGCAAGCGUUAUCCGGAUUUAUUGGGCGUAUAGGGUGCGUAGGCGGUUAGUUAAGUUUGAGGUCAAAGCCCGGGGCUCAACCCCGGUUCGCCUUGAAAACUGGCUGACUAGAAUACAGGAGAGGUAGAUGGAAUUCCAUGUGUAGCGGUGAAAUGCGUAGAUAUAUGGAGGAACACCAGUGGCGUAGGCGGUCUACUGGCCUGUUAUUGACGCUGAGGCACGAAAGCGUGGGGAGCAAAUAGGAUUAGAUACCCUAGUAGUCCACGCCGUAAACGUUGAGUACUAAGUGUCGGCAUUAUGUCGGUGCUGCAGCUAACGCAUUAAGUACUCCGCCUGAGUAGUAUGCUCGCAAGAGUGAAACUCAAAGGAAUUGACGGGGACCCGCACAAGUGGUGGAGCAUGUGGUUUAAUUCGAAGCAACGCGAAGAACCCUUACCAGGGCUUGACAUCCAGUGCAAAGCUACAGAGAUGUAGUGGAGGGUUAACAUUGAGACAGGUGGUGCAUGGUUGUCGUCAGCUCGUGCCGUGAGUGUGGGUUAGUCCCGCACGAGCGCACCUAUCGUAGUACUAACAUCCAGUGAGCACUCUAUGAGACUGCUAGGUUAAGCUAGAGUAGGUUGGGAUGACGUUCCAAUUCAUUCAUGCCCCGUUAUGGUUCCUGGGGG